UACGUAGGGUGCGAGCGUUGUCCGGAAUUAUUGGGCGUAAAGAGCUCGUAGGCGGUUUGUCACGUCUGCUGUGAAAUCCCGAGGCUCAACCUCGGGCCUGCAGUGGGUACGGGCAGACUGGAGUGCGGGUAGGGGAGAAUGGAAUUCCUGGUGUAGCGGUGGAAUGCGCAGAUAUCAGGAGGAACACCGAUGGCGAAGGCAGGUCUCUGGGCCGAUACUGAUGCUGAGGAGCGAAAGCGUGGGGAGCGAACAGG
rnacentral:rRNA from 1 species